rnacentral:rRNA from 1 species
UACGAAGGGGGCUAGCGUUGCUCGGAAUCACUGGGCGUAAAGGGUGCGUAGGCGGGUCUUUAAGUCAGGGGUGAAAUCCUGGAGCUCAACUCCAGAACUGCCUUUGAUACUGAAGAUCUUGAGUUCGGGAGAGGUGAGUGGAACUGCGAGUGUAGAGGUGAAAUUCGUAGAUAUUCGCAAGAACACCAGUGGCGAAGGCGGCUCACUGGACCAUAACUGACGCUGAUGCACGAAAGCUAGGGGAGCAAACAGG